UAAAUAAAAACUGUUUUUCGGGAACGAAUGUUUACUCAAGAGCAGUUUUCCUUAUUUUGACGUCUUCCAAACCAGACGAAACUGAAUGCUGCGGAUGAUUCUGCUUCUUUUAAUUUUAACUAUUAGCGAAAGAUGGCAGCACUAUUAGAGCAUCCGGAAGACGUUGAACGUGUGUAAAAUGGAGUUUCGAAUAGCAGAAGUAAAAGUUUAUAUACGCCUUUAACGACGGGUGAGUUGUAACGGGAAAAUGGAAUGAGAAAAUACACGUGUGAAAAUGAAUCUAAACGGAUACCAGUAGAGAUAGAUAGAGAUAUCUAAAAUGAAGCACAAAAUAGUAAAA